UACGUAGGGUGCGAGCGUUGUCCGGAAUUAUUGGGCGUAAAGAGCUCGUAGGCGGCCUGUUGCGUCGGUUGUGAAAGCCCGGGGCUUAACCCCGGGUCUGCAGUCGAUACGGGCAGGCUGGAGUUCGGUAGGGGAGAUCGGAAUUCCUGGUGUAGCGGUGAAAUGCGCAGAUAUCAGGAGGAACACCGGUGGCGAAGGCGGAUCUCUGGGCCGAUACUGACGCUGAGGAGCGAAAGCGUGGGGAGCGAACAGG
rnacentral:rRNA from 1 species